rnacentral:misc_RNA from 1 species
ACUUGGUCAGUUUUACCCAUAUGCUUCUUCAAACUUCUUUCCAAUGGCAAUGCUAUAGUCUAAACGGCAUAAAAUCUUAUACUAGACGAGAUCGAUGCAACUGACACUUGCAUGGGAAGUUUCAUGCCAGCUUCACCAAAGUGUGGGAUACGCGUCUCUCCAAGAAAAUGACUAAAUCAAUGGAUCCCUGAACAAGUCCCCAGUUCCCACUCAAAAGCUGAAAACGCUCCCCAUAUGCCUCCACGAUUGCAUAUAAGAGAAAUUUCCCCGCCACUUGUCACUUCCUGUCAUUAUAUAUGCAUAUAUUUCUUGUCGUUAAUUAGUGAAAUUUGUAAAUUUGGCUCAGGAAAAGGUUGAGCAGUGAACUGACACCAUUCAGCAGAAAGCACUCAGAUGCUGCCAGUGACAAAACAGCAAGUGGAGCUGAUUUGGCACAACAAUCUGCCCAACAAAACAAGGGGGAAUGAAGCCGCAUGUUUUCUUCAGCUGGUUCUCUCAUACAAUUUCCCCUGAUUUGUCUUUUCGUUUUGGACGAUUUAUAUCUGUUAAUUACAAGGCCUGUAAAAACGUAAUAUAUUUGUUUAAUUGCUUUCGAAAUGAUAUAUAUUGUUUAUGGAUUGAGACAUUAGUGAAAUGCAUGGUUGCUUGCUAGCUACAGAGAG